rnacentral:misc_RNA from 1 species
CCACACACGAUCCAAGAUCGACACUUUAUUGUGAACUGUUUAAAAUGUUUUAUUGUUAAUUGAAGGUUGGUUGUUAUACUUGUAUGAUAAUGAAUUUUUAAUGACAAAUAAUAAAUAUUACACCAAAAAAAAAUUACAACUUGAAUAAUUCAAAUUGGAACUUAAAUGUUAUAUAAAAGUUUGUCUUUUAUUAUAACGCUAGAUUGAAAAUUGUAAAA